AAUAAGAGUAAUUUUACACUGUUUAUAUUCAACAUUUAACUAUUUAUUUUAUUUGAUAUUUUUAUGAUUACUAUUUUUAUUUUUAUUGUUAUUUGAUGAUAAAACAAGAAUAAUAUUUUAUGUGUGACUGAUUUUCUUAAUUUUUCAUAAAGUUUUUAAAUGCGAUGGAUGGUUAAAUAUUGAACACGGAUAGUAUGGCUCUACUUAUU
rnacentral:pre_miRNA from 1 species